AUACGGAGGGUGCAAGCGUUGUUCGGAAUCACUGGGUUUAAAGGGUCCGUAGGCGGACUAAUAAGUCAGGGGUGAAAUCCCACAGCUUAACUGUGGAACUGCCUUUGAUACUGUUAGUCUUGAGUUAUAUGGAAGUAGAUAGAAUGUGUAGUGUAGCGGUGAAAUGCUUAGAGAUUACACAGAAUACCGAUUGCGAAGGCAGUCUACUACAUAUAUACUGACGCUAAUGGACGAAAGCGUGGGGAGCGAACAGGAUUAGAAACCCUAGUAGUCC
rnacentral:rRNA from 1 species